UACGUAGGGUGCGAGCGUUGUCCGGAAUUAUUGGGCGUAAAGAGCUUGUAGGCGGUCUGUCGCGUCUGCUGUGAAAAUCCGGGGCUCAACCCCGGACUUGCAGUGGGUACGGGCAGACUAGAGUGUGGUAGGGGAGACUGGAAUUCCCGGUGUAGCGGUGAAAUGCGCAGAUAUCGGGAGGAACACCAGUGGCGAAGGCGGCACUCUGGGCCGGUACUGACGCUGAGGAGCGAAAGCGUGGGGAGCGAACAGG
rnacentral:rRNA from 1 species